CAGGCCUAACACAUGCAAGUCGAACGGUAACAGGAAGCAGCUUGCUGCUUCGCUGACGAGUGGCGGACGGGUGAGUAAUGUCUGGGAAACUGCCCGAUGGAGGGGGAUAACUACUGGAAACGGUAGCUAAUACCGCAUAAUGUCGCAAGACCAAAGAGGGGGACCUUCGGGCCUCUUGCCAUCGGAUGUGCCCAGAUGGGAUUAGCUUGUUGGUGAGGUAACGGCUCACCAAGGCGACGAUCCCUAGCUGGUCUGAGAGGAUGACCAGCCACACUGGAACUGAGACACGGUCCAGACUCCUACGGGAGGCAGCAGUGGGGAAUAUUGCACAAUGGGCGCAAGCCUGAUGCAGCCAUGCCGCGUGUAUGAAGAAGGCCUUCGGGUUGUAAAGUACUUUCAGCGGGGAGGAAGGUGUUGUGGUUAAUAACCGCGUCGAUUGACGUUACCCGCAGAAGAAGCACCGGCUAACUCCGUGCCAGCAGCCGCGGUAAU
rnacentral:rRNA from 1 species